GUCGAACGCUGGCGGCGUGCUUAACACAUGCAAGUCGAACGGAAAGGCCCUGCUUUUGUGGGGUUCUCGCGUCGCGCACGGGUGAGUAACCCGUGAGUCACCUGCCCUUGACUUUGGGAUAACUUCAGGCACCUGGGGCUAAUACCGGAUAGGAGCUCCUGCUGCUUGGUGGGGGUUGGACCGUUUAGGCGGUUGUGGAUGUACUCGGGGGUUAUCAGCUUGUUGGUGGGGUAUUGGCUUACCAAGGCUUUGACGGAUAGCCGGCCUGAGAGGGGAACCGGGGACCAUGCGACUGAGAGAGGGCGCAGACGCCUACGGUAGGCAGCAGUGGAGAAUAUGGUACAAUGGGGGGAAGCGUGAGGAGGCAACGCCGCGUGCGUGAUGACGGCUUUCGGGGGGGAAAGCGCAUUAGCUUGUGACGAAGCGGGAGUGACGGUAACGGGUAAAGAAGCACCGGCUAACUACGUG
rnacentral:rRNA from 1 species